CGUACACUCCUGCGGGAGGCAGCAGUGGGGAAUAUUGCACAAUGGGCGCAAGCCUGAUGCAGCCAUGCCGCGUGUAUGAAGAAGGCCUUCGGGUUGUAAAGUACUUUCAGCGGGGAGGAAGGCGUUGAGGUUAAUAACCUCAGCGAUUGACGUUACCCGCAGAAGAAGCACCGGCUAACUCCGUGCCAGCAGCCGCGGUAAUACGGAGGGUGCAAGCGUUAAUCGGAAUUACUGGGCGUAAAGCGCACGCAGGCGGUCUGUCAAGUCGGAUGUGAAAUCCCCGGGCUCAACCUGGGAACUGCAUUCGAAACUGGCAGGCUAGAGUCUUGUAGAGGGGGGUAGAAUUCCAGGUGUAGCGGUGAAAUGCGUAGAGAUCUGGAGGAAUACCGGUGGCGAAGGCGGCCCCCUGGACAAAGACUGACGCUCAGGUGCGAAAGCGUGGGGAGCAAACAGGAUUAGAAACCCCGGUAGUCCCAUGA
rnacentral:rRNA from 1 species